UUGACAGCCAUGAAGACUGAAGUUCUGAAUUCAUCCUUAUAACACAUGCAGCACAAGUAGCAGAGGUGCAAGCUUUCCAACACCACUGCCCCAAUAGGCCUCAGUGGCUUUCUGCAUGAGAGUGCUUUUCAGACUACCUACUCCUUCCUAUCCUUUGGUUCU
rnacentral:sRNA from 1 species